rnacentral:rRNA from 1 species
GACGAACGCUGGCGGCGUGCCUAAUACAUGCAAGUCGAACGCUUCUUUCCUCCCGAGUGCUUGCACUCAAUUGGAAAGAGGAGUGGCGGACGGGUGAGUAACACGUGGGUAACCUACCCAUCAGAGGGGGAUAACACUUGGAAACAGGUGCUAAUACCGCAUAACAGUUUAUGCCGCAUGGCAUAAGAGUGAAAGGCGCUUUCGGGUGUCGCUGAUGGAUGGACCCGCGGUGCAUUAGCUAGUUGGUGAGGUAACGGCUCACCAAGGCCACGAUGCAUAGCCGACCUGAGAGGGUGAUCGGCCACACUGGGACUGAGACACGGCCCAGACUCCUACGGGAGGCAGCAGUAGAGAAUCUUCGGCAAUGGACGAAAGUCUGACCGAGCAACGCCGCGUGAGUGAAGAAGGUUUUCGGAUCGUAAAACUCUGUUGUUAGAGAAGAACAAGGACGUUAGUAACUGAACGUCCCCUGACGGUAUCUAACCAGAAAGCCACGGCUAACUACGUG